UACGGAGGUGGCAAGCGUUGCUCGGAAUCACUGGGCGUAAAGGGCGCGUAGGCGGGGUGGUAAGUCGGGUGUGAAAUCCCUCGGCCCAACCGAGGAACUGCGCCCGAGACUGCUUCUCUUGAGUCCCGGAGAGGAAGAUGGAAUUCCCGGUGUAGCGGUGAAAUGUGUAGAGAUCGGGAGGAACACCGGUGGCGAAGGCGGUCUUCUGGACGGUGACUGACGCUGAGGCGCGAAAGCGUGGGGAGCAAACGGG
rnacentral:rRNA from 1 species